UAACAACUGAAUUGUGUUCACAUGGUAGGUUCUAGACAGCGUUCACAUGAGAGCUCCCCAACCAGCGCUGGCUCAUUUCUACCCUCGUUUUAUCUCUCCUCACUGACUCUCUCCUCACACCUAGCAGGUUGUGACCACACGAAGCUUCCCCAUUGUUGGGCUGGAGCUCACCUGGGUAGCGACCGGAGCUCCCCCGUGAUAACGGCUAGUGACGAGCCCAUUCCCCCUCGCGACGAUGUCAUCCCCACCCCGUCAUAGUGCAGAUCCAUGGCAUCUUCCUCCACAGUUGCCAUAGGCACAUCGUCAUCCCCACCCCUUCACCGGAGCACGUCCAGGCGUGGGCACCGGUGGUGGCGAGCGGCUUCCUCCACGGCCAUCUCUCAUUGGCGAUUUAUAGUUUUUUGUCGAUUUUCUCCAUUUAGUCCUCUGAUCUGUUUGAUUUAAUUGGUGAUUCGUUCAUUUAUCCUUUUAUUUUGGUGCUCACGAUGGUUAGGGUUUGAUUCAUGGUGUAAUUUCUUUGUGUUUUUUAGGGUCCGGUUGAAUUGGAGCAAAGGGAGCCUGGUGGAGGAAUCGAGAAUUUGCGAUCUGAAGUGGACAAGCAGAAUUUCGAGAUGGGCUUAUAUCAUGGAGAAUUCAGGCUACAGUAAAAAAUUGGACAUAUCUAGUGUGUCACAGGUGAAGUGCUAUGAAGCUUAAUGCUAUGGAAAUCAAGUCCAGUGUUGGAGUUCAAUAAAAACUAUACUAUCUACAGAGAAACUAGUGAAAAUAUCAUGUCCUUGUUCUGUUGUUCAGCACUUGUAGUGAUCUUUGUCUUGUUUCUCUUAGGCACUAGUGAGAAACUUGUGAAAAUUAGAGAAUUGCACUUCAACUUUUUUGGUUGAUAUAUUCCUAGGAAGAGUACAACAAUCAAGAAUAUUGUACAUAUCAAAGUGAUUUUCCAUUUUAUUUGUAGCUA